AACAUAAAAAUCGCUGGCAAUGAGUCGAAUUCAUAUCAUAAUGCGCUCUCCGGGCAGACUAGAAACCGAUUUCUACUAUUUCAAAAAUAAGCCGAUGCUACGGUUAAAGGAAACCUAUGCUGAUGUCCAUUCUCUGAGCCUUAGAAAUCUCACUUUUCGCUUUGAAGGAGUACUGGUCCAGGACAGCGCAACGGCGAGUAGCAUGUCGCUUCGCAACUACGCCUCCAUAGAUGUAACCAUUUUAGAUGAAGAAGAAGCAGGAGAAGAAGAAGAAGAAGCAGAAGAAGAAGCAGAAGAAGAAGAAGCAGGAAAACCAAGCAGCUAUUUUCCUUCUCACUGUCGGCUGCAGUAAAAAUGUUUAAGUUUUCUUAUUUUCUUGCAGUUCUGUUCAACUGCGUAGCCUCUUUCCAUAUUUAAGGAUUGCUUAUAGUAUGCCUUGACCAAGCACUUACCAGACUGACUGACUUAUCUCUCUCUUUCUCUCUCUCUCUCAUUCCAAAAACUUCACAGUUCAAGUCAGAAGUACAACAUACAAAGAACAAAGAAAAAACUCCGAAAAUGGAACGAGAUCCACUAAAAGACAUCACCGUCGUGCAGACUGAUAAGAAAAAGACCCAACAGAACACCCAAAAUGGACAACAAGCCCGCAGAUGCUUCGAGAUCUUUCGAGACGCUAACUGAUGGGCGGACAAGAGAGUGAGUUUCAGAGCUCCCCUUCCGGAGCUCUUCAAGUUCUUUGACCGUUUGGCUCAGUCUAGGAGUCCGAUGAGUAUUAUCGAUUCAUCACAAAAAUCGUUAUCUCUUGGGAUCUUCAUAUUUAGUUUGGAAAACAGCAGAAUUCCCACAAAAUACAAAAGCACACACAACACACUAUCGCAAACCGCAAAGAGCAGGAAAUAAACGGUUUCGGAUCUUUGAAUUUUCUUCGAAACGUCAAAAAGUUUCAGACUCUGUUAGACCAAUAAAAAACUGAUG
rnacentral:lncRNA from 1 species